GACGAACGCUGGCGGCGUGCUUAACACAUGCAAGUCGAACGGAAAGGCCCUGCUUUUGUGGGGUGCUCGAGUGGCGAACGGGUGAUUAACACGUGAGUAACCUGCCCUUGACUUUGGGAUAACUUCAGGAAACUGGGGCUAAUACCGGAUAGGAGCUCCUGCUGCAUGGUGGGGGUUGGCAAGUUUCGGAGGUUGGGGAUGGACUCGCGGCUUAUCAGCUUGUUGGUGGGGUAGUGGCUUACCAAAGCUUUGACGGGUAGCCGGCCUGAGAGAGUGACCGGACACAUUGGGACUGAGAGACGGCCCAGACUCCUACGGGGGACAGAAGAGGGGAAUAUUGCACGAUGGGGGGAAGCCUGAUGCAGCAAAGCCGCGUGCGGGAUGACGGGCUUCGGGUUGUAAACCGCUUUCGCCUGUGACGAAGCGUGAGUGACGGUACUGGGUAAAGAAGCACCGGCUAACUACGUG
rnacentral:rRNA from 1 species